GACGAACGCUGGCGGCGUGCUUAACACAUGCAAGUCGAGCGGUAAGGCCCCUUCGGGGGUACACGAGCGGCGAACGGGUGAGUAACACGUGAGCAAUCUGCCCUUCACUUUGGGAUAACUCUGGGAAACGAGAGCUAAUACCGAAUACGACCACUUCAGGCAUCUGAUGGUGGUGGAAAGUUCCGGCGGUGAAGGAUGAGCUCGCGGCCUAUCAGCUAGUUGGUGGAGUAACGGCCCACCAAGGCUUCGACGGGUAGCCGGCCUGAGAGGGUGACCGGCCACACUGGGACUGAGACACGGCCCAGACUCCUACGGGAGGCAGCAGUGGGGAAUAUUGGACAAUGGGCGAAAGCCUGAUCCAGCAACGCCGCGUGAGAGAUGACGGCCUUCGGGUUGUAAACCUCUUUCAGUAGGGACGAAGCGCAAGUGACGGUACCUACAGAAGAAGCACCGGCCAACUACGUG
rnacentral:rRNA from 1 species